ACAGUUCGGUCCCUAUCCGUCGCGGGCGUAGGAAAUUUGAGAGGAUCUGCUCCUAGUACGAGAGGACCAGAGUGGACUUACCGCUGGUGUACCAGUUGUUCUGCCAAGAGCAUCGCUGGGUAGCUAUGUAGGGAAGGGAUAAACGCUGAAAGCAUCUAAGUGUGAAGCCCACCUCAAGAUGAGAUUUCCCAUGAUUAUAUAUCAGUAAGAGCCCUGAGAGAUGAUCAGGUUGAUAGGUUAGGAGUGGAAGUGUGGUGACACAUGUAGCGGACUAAUACUAAUAGCUCGAGGACUUAUCCAA
rnacentral:rRNA from 1 species